ACAUUACAUUUGCUGAAUCCCGGAUAUUCCGGGUACGGAGGAACCAAUUUUGGGGUUAAUCCAUGUAUUUCAUGGUAGGGAACCUUCUAUCCCGAACCCGUCAGCUAACUUCGGAAGCAUAGAAAGGAAGGAGUG
rnacentral:sRNA from 1 species